UACGGAGGGUGCGAGCGUUAAUCGGAACUACUGGGCGUAAAGGGCGAGUAGGCGGUGGGUUACGUCUGCCGUGAAAUCCCCGGGCUCAACCUGGGAAUGGCGGUGGAAACGGGCUGACUGGAGUAUGGGAGAGGGUGAUGGAAUUCCAGGUGUAGCGGUGAAAUUCGUAGAGAUCUGGAGGAACACCAGUGGCGAAGGCGGUCACCUGGCCCAAUACUGACGCUGAGGCGCGAAAGCGUGGGGAGCAAACAGG
rnacentral:rRNA from 1 species